UGGAGUGGUGCUUCUCAACUGGAAAUCCCUGACACCUGUCCCUUUUAUCCCUGAGGCUUUACCAGGCUGCAAACACCUUUUCUUCAGCUUCUGUCUCCCCUUUAAGGUUUCCAGAAAUGGAACAGUGCUUUCAAGCCAUGGAAACCACCGUGUUGCUGUAAGGUCAAUGUAAUGGUUUUGAGUUUAGGCCUUCCUUCCUGGCGGUCAGGAAGGAAGUAUUCCAUCCUAUUCCUUUACGUAAUCCAAACAUAUAAAUAGACAGAGAGAGAAGCCUCUUCCUCUUUUCCCUUCCGGCAAGGUUUGGAGACAGCAGACUCCCGCAAGGCCAGUCUCACUCCUGUGGGGGGAGUUGAGGCCUGGCUGGUCCUACAGGGCCUGUUGUUCCUGCUUCUCCAGGGUUCAGUAGUGUGGCGGUGGUAUUUCCCAAGGAAAGUAUGAAGCUGUAGAGGGGGGCUUUUUCUUUCCCUUCCCUGUAAGUGGAGGAGAGGCUCAACUUGAAGCUGAGCCAAGAGACUGGGCUGUAGAAGUAGGCCCAGUGCUCGGGAGAAGAGUCCCAGGUGAAAUUGGAGAUGAGCCAAGAGCUCGAGAGUUGCCUGCCGAAGCUGACCGGGGGCAGCUGAGAACUGAUGUGGAGGAAUGAAGAUUCCAGGACACAGACGGGUGAUAAGCUACACUGCAACAGCCUAUGAACCAAGAGGUUUUUGUGCUGGGCUUCGGGGACUUGGUGGGGAGCCAAAUCAAACUUAGACAGUCAAUCAGCAUCAGGUCUUGAUGGCUAAAUACAGCGGCGAGGCCCGGCCCCGAGUGCUGGGGCCCAGCCCUGGCCCCGGGCACAGAAAGGAGUGAGAGAAUGGGAGCUUCGCCUGUGCGGACAGUGCCAUUGUGGGAGUUGAGAGGGGAGCCCCGGAACACACAGAAGAGAAGGACAACUCUAAACCCAGGCA